GUCCGUUCAUCGCUAAUUUAGCGACGCAUGCAACCUAGCCAUGGAACGGGGGUUAGGU
ncrna:unclassified sequences Glutamine-II riboswitch (downstream peptide RNA)